AGCGAACGCUGGCGGCAGGCUUAACACAUGCAAGUCGAGGGGAGCGGCAGACGGGUGAGUCACGCGUGGGAACGUACCUUUUGGUUCGGAACAACACAGGGAAACUUUUGCUAAUACCGGAUACCGAAAGAUCGGACCGCGUCUGAUUAGUUAGUUGGUGAGGGAAUGGCUCCCCAAGGCGACGAUCAGUAGCUGGUCUGAGAGGAUGAUCCGCCACAUUGGGACUGAGACACGGCCCAAACUCCUACGGGAGGCAGAAGUGGGGAAUAUUGGACAAUGGGGGCAACCCUGAUCCAGCCAUGCCGGGGGAGUGAUGAAGGCCCUAGGGUUGUAAAGCUCUUUUGUGCGGGAAGCGGUACCGCAAGAAUAAGCCCCGGCUAACUUCGUGCCAGCAGCCGCGGUAAUAC
rnacentral:rRNA from 1 species